AUUAAUUCUAACCACCUAAGCCCAUGUUCACCUAGGCUUCUCUGCCCAUCUGGCCGACCAAGAGGGGUUUGGGGCAUUAAGAAUUGUUGCACAUUUCUUCUCUUGCGCUUGUGAAGAGAUAUGGUGCCUUCCCUUUCCUUUUUGGAUAAGAAGCAAUGCCAUUUGAAUUCUAAUUUGAUUUUGAAUCAAAUUAGAUCAAUUCUUAUCAAAUAAGGGAGUUUGUUUGGCACUG
rnacentral:lncRNA from 1 species